rnacentral:rRNA from 1 species
GAGUAUGCGGUCGUAGACCCGAAACUGUGUGAUCUACCCAUGUCCAGGGUGAAGGUCAGGUAACACUGACUGGAGGCCCGAACCCACGUAUGUUGAAAAAUGCGGGGAUGAGGUGUGGGUAGCGGUGAAAUUCCAAUCGAACACAGAGAUAGCUGGUUCUCUCCGAAAUAGCUUUAGGGCUAGCCUCAAGAUCAUGAGUACUGGAGGUAGAGCACUGAUUGGACUAGGGGCCCCUACCGGGUUACCGAAUUCAGUCAAACUCCGAAUGCCAGUUACUUUAACUUGGGAGUCAGACUAUGGGUGAUAAGGUUCAUAGUCGAAAGGGAAACAGCCCAGACCGCCAGCUAAGGUCCCAAAGUAUACGUUAAGUGGAAAAGGAUGUGGCGUUGCACAGACAACCAGGAUGUUGGCUUAGAAGCAGCCAUCAUUGAAAGAGUGCGUAAUAGCUCACUGGUCGAGUGACGCUGCGCCGAAAAUGUACCGGGGCUAAACGUAUCACCGAAGCUGCGGAUUGUUCUUACGAACAAUGGUAGGAGAGCGUUCAAAGUGCUGUGAAGUCAGACCGUGAGGACUGGUGGAGCGCUUUGAAGUGAGAAUGCCGGUAUGAGUAGCGAAAAAAGAGUGAGAAUCUCUUUCACCGAAUGCCUAAGGUUUCCUGAGGAAGGCUCGUCCUCUCAGGGUUAGUCGGGACCUAAGCCGAGGCCGAUAGGCGUAGGCGAUGGACAACAGGUUGAUAUUCCUGUACCACCUCAUGAUUGUUUGAGCAAUGGGGGGACGCAGGAGGAUAAGGAGUGCGCACCGAUGGAUGUGCGUCCAAGCAUGCGAGGAAGUCAGAUAGGCAAAUCCGUCUGACAUGUUUCUGAGCUGUGACGGGGAGGGAAAUAGAGUACCGAAGUUCCUGAUUUCACACUGCCAAGAAAAGCCUCUAGUUAGAUCAUAGGUGCCCGUACCGCAAACCGACACAGGUAGGCGAGGAGAGAAUCCUAAGGUGAGCGGGAGAACUCUCGUUAAGGAACUCGGCAAAAUGACCCCGUAACUUCGGGAGAAGGGGUGCUCACUUGUGAGUGAGCCGCAGUGAAUAGGCCCAAGCGACUGUUUAGCAAAAACACAGGUCUCUGCGAAGCCGAAAGGCGAAGUAUAGGGGCUGACACCUGCCCGGUGCUGGAAGGUUAAGGGGAAGAGUUAGCUCUUCGGAGCGAAGCUUUGAACCGAAGCCCCAGUAAACGGCGGCCGUAACUAUAACGGUCCUAAGGUAGCGAAAUUCCUUGUCGGGUAAGUUCCGACCCGCACGAAAGGUGCAACGACUUGGGCACUGUCUCAACGAGAGACCCGGUGAAAUUAUACUAUGCGUGAAGAUGCGCAUUACCCGCGACAGGACGGAAAGACCCCGUGGAGCUUUACUGUAGCCUGAUAUGGAAUGUUUGUGCAGUUUGUACAGGAUAGGUGGGAGCCUUUGAAACGUGAGCGCCAGCUUACGUGGAGGCAUCCGUGGGAUACCACCCUAACUGUAUGACCAUUCUAACCCAGGACCGUUAUCCGGUUCGGAGACAGUGUCAGGCGGGCAGUUUGACUGGGGCGGUCGCCUCCUAAAAGGUAACGGAGGCGCCCAAAGGUUCCCUCAGAAUGGUUGGAAAUCAUUCGCAGAGUGUAAAGGCAGAAGGGAGCUUGACUGCGAGACCUACAAGUCGAGCAGGGACGAAAGUCGGGCUUAGUGAUCCGGUGGUUCCGCAUGGAAGGGCCAUCGCUCAACGGAUAAAAGCUACCCCGGGGAUAACAGGCUUAUCUCCCCCAAGAGUUCACAUCGACGGGGAGGUUUGGCACCUCGAUGUCGGCUCAUCGCAUCCUGGGGCUGUAGUCGGUCCCAAGGGUUGGGCUGUUCGCCCAUUAAAGCGGUACGCGAGCUGGGUUCAGAACGUCGUGAGACAGUUCGGUCCCUAUCCGUCGUGGGCGUUGGAAGUUUGAGAGGAGCUGUCCUUAGUACGAGAGGACCGGGAUGGACACACCGCUGGUGUACCAGUUGUUCCGCCAGGAGCAUAGCUGGGUAGCUACGUGUGGUAAGGAUAAGUGCUGAAAGCAUCUAAGCAUGAAGCCCCCCUCAAGAUGAAACUUCCCAUCACUUGAAGUGAGUAAAAUCCCUCAGAGACGAUGAGGUUGAUAGGUCCGAGGUGGAAGCGUGGCGACACGUGCAGCUGACGGAUACUAAUCGAUUGAGGACUUAUCUAA